rnacentral:rRNA from 1 species
UACGUAGGGUGCAAGCGUUGUCCGGAAUUAUUGGGCGGAAAGAGCUCGUAGGCGGUCUGUCACGUCGGCUGUGAAAACCCGAGGCUCAACCUCGGGCCUGCAGUCGAUACGGGCAAACUAGAGUACUGCAGGGGAGACUGGAAUUCCUGGUGUAGCGGUGAAAUGCGCAGAUAUCAGGAGGAACACCGGUGGCGAAGGCAGGUCUCUGGGCAGUAACUGACGCUGAGGAGCGAAAGCGUGGGGAGCGAACAGG